UUCGCAAUGCCCGAAAGGGUGACGAAGCGACGCCGCGUGUGGGAAGAAGGCCCUCGGGUUGUAAACCACUGUCGGGAGUUAGGAAAUGUAAGGGUGCUAAUAGUAUCCUUACUUGACUAAGGCUCCGGAGGAAGCCACGGCUAACUCUGUGCCAGCAGCCGCGGUAAUACAGAGGCGGCAAGCGUUGUUCGGAAUUAUUGGGCGUAAAGAGCACGUAGGCGGCCUUGUAAGUCAGUUGUGAAAGCCUUCUGCUUAACGGAAGAACAGCAGCUGAUACUGCAAGGCUAGAGUGCGGAAGGGGAGAGUGGAACUUCUGGUGGAGCGGUGAAAUGCGUAGAUAUCAGAAGGAACACCGGCGGCGAAGGCGACUCUCUGGUCCGUAACUGACGCUGAGUGUGCGAAAGCUAGGGGAGCAAACGGGAUUAGAUACCCCGGUAGUCCUAGCCGUAAAC
rnacentral:rRNA from 1 species